rnacentral:rRNA from 1 species
GAUGAACGCUCGCGCUAGGCUUAACACAUGCGAGUCGAGGGGCAGCACAAGGUAGCUUGCUAUCUGGGUGGCGACCGGCGCACGGGUGCGUCACGCGUAUGCAACUUGCCCUAUACAGGAGGAUAACCCGUCGAAAGACGGACUAAUACUACGUAUGCUCACAACUUGGCAUCCAGGGGUGAGGAAAGAAAUUCGGUAUAGGAAAGGCAUGCGUCCCAUUAGCUUGUUGGUGAGGUAACGGCUCACCAAGGCAACGAUGGGUAGGGGAACUGAGCGAUUUAUCGCCGACACUGGUACUUGGACACCGACCAGACUCCUGCGGGAGGCAGCAGUGAGGAAGAGUGGGCAAUGGGCGCGAGCCUGAACCAGCCGAGUCGCGUGAAGGAUGACUGUCUUAUGGAUGGUAAACUUCUUUUAGACUGGAAUAACAAGAGUCCCGUGUGACUCCCUGCAUGUACCGUAUGAAUAAGCUUCGGCUAACUCCGUG